rnacentral:rRNA from 1 species
CUAGAAUAUAAUUUGAGGUUUAACCUGCCCACUGAUAAGUUAAAUGGCCGCAGUAAUUUGACUGUGCAAAGGUAGCAUAAUCAUUAGUUUUUUAAUUAAAAGCUAGAAUGAAUGGUUGGACGAAAUAAAAUCUGUCUCUAAUUAAUAGAUAAAAAUUAAUUUUUAAGUUAAAAAGCUUAAAUUAUUAUAAAAGACGAGAAGACCCUAUAGAUUUUUAUAUUAUAGAUUUUAAUUUUAAUUUAGAAAAUUUUAUUUAUUAUAAUCUAUGGUAUUUUAUUGGGGUAAUAGGGAGAUUAAAUUAAUUCUUUUUUUUAUAGUCAAUAAUUUUUGUUUUUUUGAUCCUUUAUUAAAGAUUAUAAGAUUAAAUUACCUUAGGGAUAACAGCGUAAUUUUUUUGGAGAGUUCUUAUCGAUAAAAAAGUUUGCGACCUCGAUGUUGGAUUAAAAAUUAUUUUAGGUGUAGUAGUUUGAAAAUUUGGUCUGUUCGACCAUUAAAUUUUUACAUGAUCUGAGUUCAGACCGGUGUAAGCCAGGUCGGUUUCUAUCUUUAUUGGGUUAAUAUAUUUUAGUACGAAAGGACCAAAUAUUGAAUAUAUAGAUAUUUUUAAGUUGAAUAAUA